GGGGACCCGCACAAGCGGUGGAUGAUGUGGAUUAAUUCGAUGCAACGCGAAAAACCUUACCUACCCUUGACAUGGCUGGAAUCCUUGAGAGAUCAGGGAGUGCUCGAAAGAGAACCAGUACACAGGUGCUGCAUGGCUGUCGUCAGCUCGUGUCGUGAGAUGUUGGGUUACGUCCCGCAACGAGCGCAACCCUUGUCAUUAGUUGCUACGAAAGAGCACUCUAAUGAGACUGCCGGUGACAAACCGGAGGAAGGUGGGGAUGACGUCAAGUCCUCAUGGCCCUUAUGGGUAGGGCUUCACACGUCAUACAAUGGUACACACAGAGCGCCGCCAACCCGCGAGGGGGAGCUAAUCGCAGAAAGUGUAUCGUAGUCCGGAUUGUGGUCUGCAACUCGACUGCAUGAAGUUGGAAUCGCUAGUAAUCGCGGAUCAGCAUGUCGCGGUGAAUACGUUCCCGGGUCUUGUACACACCGCCCGUCACACCAUGGGAGCGGGUUUUACCAGAAGUAGGUGGCUUAACCGUAAGGAGGGCGCUUACCACGGUAGGAUUCGCGACUGGGGUGAAGUCGUAACAAGGUAACCGUAAGGGC
rnacentral:rRNA from 1 species